AUUGAACGCUGGCGGCAGGCCUAACACAUGCAAGUCGAACGAGUGGCGUACGGGUGAGUAAUGUCUGGGAAACUGCCCGAUGGAGGGGGAUAACUACUGGAAACGGUAUCUAAUACCGCAUACCAUCGGAUGUGCCCAGAUGGGAUUAGCUAGUAGGUGGGGUAACGGCUCACCUAGGCGACGAUCCCUCGCUGGUCUGAGAGGAUGACCAGCCACACUGGAACUGAGACACGUUCCAGACUGCUAAGUGAGGCAGCAGUGGGGAAUAUUGCACAAUGGGCGCAAGCCUGAUGCAGCCAUGCCGCGUGUAUGAAGAAGGCAUUCGGGUUGUAAAGUACUUUCAGCGAGGAGGCUUUACUCGCAGAAGAAGCACCGGAUAACUCCGUGCCAGCAGCCGCGGUAAUAC
rnacentral:rRNA from 1 species